rfam:Capsicum annuum cultivar Zunla-1 chromosome 1, whole genome shotgun sequence
UACUGAUGAUGCAGACAGUCCCGAAAAAGAGCCUUGAAGCACUCCCACGCAUGAUGUAAAUUCUCAUUUGGCUUCUGUUUAAAGCAUAUAAUAUCAUUGCGCAAUCU